ACCGUCAGUCGGUGGCGACCCGCCCAGCGAGCAGAGCAACGCGCGGACCCCCCCGCAAACGCGUCGCGUCGCGCCGCGCCGCGCCGCGCCUCGCCGGCGAAUCGAGUUGAGUCGAGUCGGGACGAAACGACUCGGGGCAAAAAGCCGGUCCCCACACCACACCGCGUCCGGCCCGCGCCCAGCACGCCUCGCACGUCCGCACGCGCGUGCAGACGGAGCGGCCGGCCCCGCCGCCGAGCAAUCUGUUGAGCCGAAACAAAACAAACCGGGCCUCGCCGACCGGGCCCGGCUCGUGGUGCAACAGCGAGUGUUUCCCGAGCAGCAGGGGUCGAGCCAGGUCGACGGGCACGUCCAGCCAGGGGCACCGGGACCACCCCGUCGAGGAAGUGUGACACGCACCGGCCUGGUCGCGGCUCGUCGGCUGCCCUACACUAGCCCGCCCCAGGUGGCGGGCAUGCGGCGCUGUCGCCGGCGCUGGGCACCGCGGCGGUCCCGGGGCGCCGGCCCCAUGUGAGGGAUGGCCGCAGGGCCCUCGGGUGGCCCUGGUGCUCGCCCUGGGGCUGCUCGUGCGCUGUAGGGCUGCAGCACCCGCGGCCGCCGCCCGGCCAUGGGGAACCACCAGUCGGGCCGGGUGCAGCGCAGCUUCAGCGAGGGGGAGGAAGUCAACUUCGACCAUUUCCAGAUCCUGCGGGCGAUUGGAAAGGGCAGCUUCGGCAAGGUGAGUUGGACUUUUUGAACCAAAU